AACGAACGCUGGCGGCAUGCCUAACACAUGCAAGUCGAACGAGACCUUCGGGUCUAGUGGCGCACGGGUGCGUAACGCGUGGGAACCUGCCCUUAGGUUCGGAAUAACUCCCCGAAAGGGGUGCUAAUACCGGAUAAUGUCUUCGGACCAAAGAUUUAUCGCCUUUGGAUGGGCCCGCGUUGGAUUAGCUGGUUGGUAGGGUAAAAGCCUACCAAGGCGACGAUCCAUAGCUGGUCGGAGAGGAUGAUCAGCCACACUGGGACUGAGACACGGCCCAGACUCCUACGGGAGGCAGCAGUGGGGAAUAUUGGACAAUGGGCGAAAGCCUGAUCCAGCAAUGCCGCGUGAGUGAUGAAGGCCUUAGGGUUGUAAAGCUCUUUUACCCGGGAUGAUAAUGACAGUACCGGGAGAAUAAGCUCCGGCUAACUCCGUG
rnacentral:rRNA from 1 species